UAGUAAAACAGCCAACGAAGCGAGAA
rnacentral:rasiRNA from 1 species